CGGGCUAACGGAGGGCGGGAGGGGCUCGGGGAACCUUGGCAAACGGCUCGCCUUGCUGCUUGGAGAGCGGCCCAGAAAAGCGCAGUCAUACAGACAGAUACGGCUGAUCCUUACAACCGUUCGUUUAGUGACCGGUCAAAGUUACAACGGGUGUCCGAGUGUUUGACCAAGGGCCUGGUUGUGGCUCUUCUUCCUGCUCUUCAGGCAUCCAGGAAGUGUUGCAAAGGAAGGGCUGUCUCGAGAUCAUCCUCCUGCGACUGGGGAAGAUGGUAAUGUGGUGCCCCUUUCACUGCCUACGUGAUUGAUAUGUGGAUGUCACAUAUGUGAUAUGUGGAUAAUGUGGUGCCUAUGCUGCUCUGGACCAACUGAGGGGUAACCAGGACAUGAGAGACAGAAUAAAUAUACCAUUCCAGGCAAAUGGCUAUCCAUCUCUUCUUAAAACCUCCAAUGACAGGACACCCACAACUUUUGGAGGGAAGUCGUUCCCCUAAUUAUUUGUUCUAUUGGGAAAUUUCUCCUUAUUUCUAAGUUGGAUCUCUCCUUGGUAAGUUUCUAUCCAUUAUUUUUUAAUCAGCUAGGUGAGAGAUUCAGAACUGAGUAUCAUCUGCAUGUUGACAAUACCUCACCCCAGGUUGGCAUAUAACGUCACCCAGCUUUUUCAUGUAGAUUUUAAAGAGAAGGGGAGAGAAAUCAAACCCUCCACAAAUGUGGACCCGUCCCCAACCUCUGAAGCCAGUCCAAAAGGAUGGUCAGCGAUAUCAAAAGCUGCUGGGAGGUCAGGGAGCACGAGGCUGGAUGCACCAACUCUUAUCUCUACUCUACCAUAAGUCAUCAACAAAUAUGACAAAAGACGUCUGCAGACUGAAACCUGACCAAAACUAGUUCAAAUAUAGUCCUUGACUUACAACCAUUUGUUAAGCUACCAUUCAAAGUUAUAGUGGUACUGAAAAAACUGACUAAUGACUAAUCCUCACAGUUAUGACCAUUGCAGCAUCCCCAGUCACACAAUCAAAAUUUGGGUGCUUGACAUGAUGGUUGGAGUCAGAUGAUUGGCUUUUGCGACCUUCCCAGAUGGCCUCUGACAAAAUCAACGGGAGAAGCCAGAUUUGCUUAACAACCAGUUGAUUCACUUAAUCACAGCAAAAGAUGUAAAAUCGGGUAGGGCUCAUUUAACAACUGCUUUGCUUAGCAUGGAAAGUCUGGUUCCAACUGUGGUUGUAAGUCAAGGACUACCUGAAAGCCAUUUCCUCCAGGUUCCCCUGAAGUUGAAGCCUGACCAUCCUGUACAUUGCCUUCCCAAGAAAGGGACAUUUGGAGGCUGGAUGACAAUUGUUCAUGAUUGUUGGGUCCAGCAGUCUCUCAGCAACGUUUACCUGAGUAGACUGUCCAUCAUAGCCUCUUUUAAGGCUGAGAGAGGCAAAAGAUUUCUCCCCAAAAAGGUUUAAUAAAUAUGUUGAGCUUCAAGAUGCACACACAAGGACCAUGAUCAUUGAUAACUUCAUAAAAAUUUCCAUUUUAAAUUAAUAAAAUUAUUAAAAAGAAUGGGGUGAGAAUGAAAAGGAGGGAACCAUCUAAACACUUUUUGUAUAAUACUUUUUUUUCUAAAUGUUUUACUGUCUUUACAAUAUCAAGUAUUGAUAUUAAUACUUCAUAUAAUCCAGUAUCUGAUUUUUUUUUAACAUAAAGGAUGCUGUGCUCCAGUGGUUAGAUAGCCAAGGCCCUAGACAUUGGGAUUUGAACAUAGAUCUUUUUAAUAUUUAGAUUUUAUUGUGUUUUACUAAUCUAGAUAAAAUGUUAAUACACAUUACUGAUCCAUGUAUUAUAUGCCAUACCCUAAAUAAAUAAUUAUAUUCAAGCUUGUCACUACUGCUAUCAAUGAUGGAUUCUGGGCCUGUUCCCUGAGGACCAGAUUUGCCAGACUGCUACUGGCAGAUGCAGGCAGACAAUAAAAAGAUUGUCCAGAUUUCACCACUGUAAUCCCCAUGAUGUAAUUCCUAAUAGGGGUUCUUACUCAGCCUGUAUCGGAUGCACCCUUUGUUUCCCUCCAGUUAUGAUCCUUGUGUCUCUUCUUGCAUUUCAAUUCCUGAAGCUCCUCAGUAAAUCAGGAUGUAUUUUGGGAUUGCCGCCCAGGGAGAGGCCAUGUAAGAGCAGUACAGUCCAAGCGCCCAAUCUCUUGCCCAUUCUAGGCCAUGACCAGGGCCUCAACCAAACUGCCCACCAGACCCUCAGGAAAAGGCCCAAGCUCUCUGAAAGGAACCGAGUCCGUCAGUCAUGUGAACUGAGCAGUAAAACAGGUGCUGUAGGCUGGUAUCAUGAAUCUCCAUAAAUGUGGGUUGUUGUUGUUUUGCUAGAAUCAGAAGAUGAAUUGGCUGUUCUUGUUUCUGUUUUAGCCAAGGCUGGAAUUAACUAAAUAAGUAAUAGGGUCACAUGGUUUGAUUAACUAGCUUACUGAAAAUCACAAUUGGCUGAGUUCACAGAGCAUACUAAAUCACAAGCCUGCAAACUAUGUUAUGGCUUGUCUUAAAUUUAUUGUGUCAUCCCAGACUGACUAACCAUUAGCUUUAAGGAAUCAGUUGCUUGUACUUGGUUCAGAACUGUUUCACAAAAUGAUUUUGCUUGCACAUAAGUAGUCAAAACCACCUUUGCAAUAUGCCAUUUAGUUGGUCAAAACAGUCUAUCCCAGAUCCUGAUCAAAUUCAAUUGCAUUUAGUAAUUACUCCCCUUGGAUUGGUAAAUGGACAUAUUUACAAUGUUUAAAUUCAAAAUGCCUUUUAAAAGACACAAAAAUAUUGUGUUUUUUUGGGGGGAUGGGUUGAGUAAACUCUAAAAUACUAAGAUGAACCCAAGAGUGGCAACCAGAAGGCCGUGGAAUGGUGGUGACCAAUUCAGCGACACAUGACAAAAGAAGAACUGGGGAGGAUUCAGAUAAGGGAAGGAAUGGAAUGGAUGCAACGAAGAGGGAAGCCAUUUCUUGUUCAGUUGUGAGGAAAAAUAAAUAAGAGAAAGAGCUAAAAUAAAAAUGGAUUGAGAUUGCAUGAGUGGAUAGAUCUGUGGUCCGCAUAUCCUGAAUAGGACAGCCCUGUAUUUGUUGACUGGGAGAAAAACACACUGAAUUUGAGUGCAAAAAAUAAAUAUAAAAUUUAUUAAAACACCCACAAUAGUUUAAGAUAUCCGGAAUAAUACAUUUCACAAACCAGUUGGCUGUGUAACAUAAUAAAAUACAAAUUAAAAAAAAGAAAGAUUCAUACUUGCCAUUUUUUGCAUCCUAGAAAUAAAUUUGCCAAGACAUUGAUGGGGGGAAAAGUAUGAAAGAAAAAAUACAAGGAAAUUAUACAAAAUAAAAUUAUCAGCAUAGACUUACUGUACUAAGGUUAUCUACAGUUUAAUACACAAGUCCUAUUGCCUUGAGACAUUGUAAAUCUACUGUUGUCAACCAACCCCAGAUAAAACUUCAUUUCAAGUAGCCACAGUCAAAUCAACAAAGAAAUCUUCACGUGUGGUCACAAGGUGGCCUCCGCUGGAGGUCUCGUUUACCAAAUGUGAAUUCAAGGAGACAAGAAAUCCAAUCCCUUGAGUAGUCACAGCCUUCGGUUAACUAAACUGAAUUAGUCUGCCAAAUCCAAACUGGUGUUUUCCUCAUUUCUUUAAAUUAAAAAAAGCAUUUAAAAGACUGUGAUAUAACAUUUAUUUAGAAGACAGAUAUGAAUGAAAAAUAAAUGCCAAAAGCCAGCUAAAUAGAUAUUUCCAUAGACUGAAUAGCAGGGAGUAAAUCUCCAAAAGCAGGUGCUAAAAUGAGAAAAAGCAACCAAAAAUCGUAAAAUAACAAUAAAUCCCUGAUACUGGAGCAGAAGAAAACAUAGCCAGUUUGCUUUACUAUGCUUGGGCAAGAAUAAUAAAUUU